UCUGUUCUGCAAAUCCAUUCCUCUCCAUCUCCAGCUGAGUAUUGCCUCUCUGUGGGAAAUUAUUCUCCAUUCUGACAGUAGCAAUGUUGUGCCCUAGAGUAAUAAAUGAGAGCCACUUGACCUUUUUAGGAAAGUCAUCAUCGUUAUGAUAGCAUAAUUUUGAAAAGCAUUUCCCCUUUAAUAUUUAUAUCAUCCCAACCCUGAGGACAUAAACUGCCACUUCUUGUGGCCCCUGUAUCUGUUUUUUUCUAUUUUAGCAACAGGUGACCUGUUUUCAGCUAGAUACACAGCCAUAGAGUAAAUACCACGUUUCCCAACCAACUACCCUUGUAGACAGAAAGAGCCAUGUGUCUAAGUUCUAGCCAGGGGCACCUAAGUAGAAGUAUCAUGUAUAAUGUCUGGAAAGAUCAGGCUGCCUAGAGUGUGGGCAUGAUGGCUGGAUAUCAAACAGCCAUUUCAGACCAUGAGGCAGAAGCCACAUGGAAGAUGGCAGAGCAAGAGGAUAGAAGGAGCUUGACUUCCUAAUGAUGAUGGAAUUUCCUGUGAUUUUUCAGCUGAGUCUAAUGCUAAUUAAAGCAACUAAAAGUUUGUCGAGAAGACUGAAAACCAUUUUGCUAAGUAGGAGUUAAUUAUAUUUAAUUAAAAAUAGGUGCUUGAAGUUACUUUUCACCAUGUCCAUCGAGACACUCACUUCUGCGUUAUGGGUCCAGAAAACCCUGUGAGGAUGAACAAGUGUCACUUGAGAGCGCACGAUGCAAGCAGUGCACCGAUUGGCCGCUAAGACUGUCCAGUGUGCGGAUGCCUCCCAGAAGAUAGCAGGGCUUUGAGAAGCAGGAAGGAACUCAGCAGGGAUAUGGAAGUCUUCUUUGCAAAGAAGUGUGGUUCCUGCUUCUGCUCAGGACAGGGGAUGAGUUGGAAAAUCUUAACUUAAGGAGCACCCAGGACUUUGAAGAGGCUUUGAAUAAUUUCUUUGUUGUCAUUGCUUCAUGCUUCACUUCUUUGGGUGAUGCUCUGAAAGCACAUUGGUCAAUAUUCGGGUAUGUUAAAAUGAUUGAUAACAUGAUAUUGGAAAAUCACCAAAUUAUUUCAAAGGUAAAUGGAACGUUAGAAUUCCAUGCCAAGAGUUUUACUUAAACAUACUUUUUUUAUCCUGUCUGAUGCUCUUGAUAUAAUUAACCUGUUAUUGUUAUAAAAACAAAGUUACAUUUUUUCCAAACACCUUCAUGUUCAUUUCAACUUAUCAAAAGGAAAGAGGUAAGUCUUAGAAAACCAUCUUUUAAAAAUAAUGUUGCUUUAAAAUUGUUUCACUUUGUCUAGUUUUUCAAUGUCAUCUUUUGUUUCACAGUAAAGAAAAAAACUCCUCUUUAUUAAAAAAAGAUUUUUGACUAGA